rnacentral:rRNA from 1 species
GAUGAACGCUGACAGAAUGCUUAACACAUGCAAGUCAACUUGAACUUCGGUUUGGGUGGCGGACGGGUGAGUAACGCGUAAGGAACUUGCCUCACAGAUAGGGACAACAUUUGGAAACGAAUGCUAAUACCUGAUAUUAUGAUUUUAGGGCAUCCUAGGAUUAUGAAAGCUAUAUGCGCUGUGAGAGAGCUUUGCGUCCCAUUAGCUAGUUGGAGAGGUAACGGCUCACCAAGGCGAUGAUGGGUAGCCGGCCUGAGAGGGUGAUCGGCCACAAGGGGACUGAGACACGGCCCUUACUCCUACGGGAGGCAGCAGUGGGGAAUAUUGGACAAUGGACCAAGAGUCUGAUCCAGCAAUUCUGUGUGCACGAUGAAGUUUUUCGGAAUGUAAAGUGCUUUCAGUUGGGAAGAAAAAAAUGACGGUACCAACAGAAGAAGUGACGGCUAAAUACGUGCCAGCAGCCGCGGUAAUACGUAUGUCACAAGCGUUAUCCGGAUUUAUUGGGCGUAAAGCGCGUCUAGGUGGUUAUAUAAGUCUGAUGUGAAAAUGCAGGGCUCAACUCUGUAUUGCGUUGGAAACUGUGUAACUAGAGUACUGGAGAGGUAAGCGGAACUACAAGUGUAGAGGUGAAAUUCGUAGAUAUUUGUAGGAAUGCCGAUGGGGAAGCCAGCUUACUGGACAGAUACUGACGCUGAAGCGCGAAAGCGUGGGUAGCAAACAGG